rnacentral:rRNA from 1 species
GUUUUAAUUCUAGCCACAAUAUAAACCAACAACUCCUAAUAAAUUACCAAAUAAAUCAUUUUAUAAUGGAAGUAUAGGCGAAAGAAACCAUCACUUGAGCAAUAAAAACAGUACUGCAAAGGAA